rnacentral:lncRNA from 1 species
UUCACUCCAUUGAUACUCUGAUUAGCUUGAAAUCCUUGCUUUUCUUUGCUUGGAAGAUGAUUAUGACGUUUGAGAGUUGAAUUGAUUGUGACAGAAAUGCCCUGUGUGAGAUUUGAGCCACUUGAUGUUCUUUCUUGUGUGAUAUGUCUCUUGAUUGCUUGCACAUAUGCCUUGGCUUGACUCUUGUUGAUGAUUCUUGAUUGAUAUGCAUGUUUGGAAGUGAUAAAGGCAGUUUUGUUGUUGAGCCUCUCUAGACAGAUGAGCCUACCUUGUUGUGAUCCCUUGAUAACCCCUUUUGAGCCUAUUCUUUCCCCAUUUCUUUAUUUUGAAGCUGAUACACUAGCCCUAAGUGAAAAACCAUGAUUACCUUAACCUUAGGGAAUUUUGGAGCUUUGAAAUUGUUUUGGGAAUAAGUGUGGUCUCCUGGGAGAUUAAGAUGAACUGGCUAGAUUGGUUCCUCUUCUUGUUUGUGUUUUUAUAAAUACAUGGUGUAUCUUGUCUCUUAGAGUUAUGUCAAAUAUUGAGAGAAAAGAAAAGAGACAAGAUGAAAAAAAAAAGAGAAAAAAAAAAUACAGAAAAAUGAGAAAAAUUAAAAAAAAAUGUGAAUAACGGAGUCAAGAAGAGGAUUGAAUUAGAGGGUUUUAGGUGUGGUUUGAUUGUGUUUCACUUGUUCCCCAUUGCUCCUCUAUUCCUUUUGGUUUGUAGCUUCUCAUCCAUAUUAUAUCCUCCCUUGUCCUUGGCCCCAUUUCAACCAUGAAAAGACCUUUUGAUUUGAACAUGCAUAUGUUUUAAGUGUAGAUAUUAGAGGCUUGCCAAGUCUGUUUGUGUUUGCUUUCUUGAGUACAUUGAGUUGACAUAGCUUACCC